rnacentral:rRNA from 1 species
GACGAACGCUGGCGGCGUGCCUAAUACAUGCAAGUAGAACGCUGAAGGAGGAGCUUGCUUCUCUGGAUGAGUUGCGAACGGGUGAGUAACGCGUAGGUAACCUGCCUGGUAGCGGGGGAUAACUAUUGGAAACGAUAGCUAAUACCGCAUAAUAGUAGAUGUUGCAUGACAUUUGCUUAAAAGGUGCAAUUGCAUCACUACCAGAUGGACCUGCGUUGUAUUAGCUAGUUGGUGGGGUAACGGCUCACCAAGGCGACGAUACAUAGCCGACCUGAGAGGGUGAUCGGCCACACUGGGACUGAGACACGGCCCAGACUCCUACGGGAGGCAGCAGUAGGGAAUCUUCGGCAAUGGACGGAAGUCUGACCGAGCAACGCCGCGUGAGUGAAGAAGGUUUUGGGAUCGUAAAGCUCUGUUGUAAGAGAAGAACGAGUGUGAGAGUGGAAAGUUCACACUGUGACGGUAUCUUACCAGAAAGGGACGGCUAACUACGUG